rnacentral:rRNA from 1 species
GACGAACGCUGGCGGCGUGCUUAACACAUGCAAGUCGAACGGAAAGGCCUUGUUCCUGUGGCGUACUCGAGUGGAGCACGGGAGAGUAUCCCGUGAGUAACGUGACCAUGACUUUGGGCUACUUCCAGGACACCGGGGCCAAUACCGGAAAGGAGCUAAUGCUGCAUGGUGGGGGCUGGAAAGUUACGGCGGUUGGGGAUGGACGAGAGUCUUAUCAGCUUGUUGGCGGGGUCGGGGCCUACCAAGGCUUUGACAGGUCGCCGGCCUGGUAGGGUGACCGGCCACAUUGGGACGGGAAUACGGCCCAGACUCGUACCGGAGGCAGCGGAGGAGAAUAUUGCACAAUGGGCGGAAGCCUGAUGCAGCAACGCCGCGUGCGGGGUGGUGGCCUUCGGGUUGGAAGCCACUUUCGCCUGUGGCGGAGGGUGAAUGACGGUAAUGUGUGAAGAAGCACCGGCUAACUUCGUU